UCCUCGGUAGUAUAGUGUUGAGUAUCCCCCCCUGUCACGCGGGAGACCGGGGUUCGAUUCCCCGCCGGGUGG
rnacentral:tRNA from 1 species